CUUAUAUUGAUAUGUGUUCCAGUCUUGGCCAUGUAUGGUUUUAUGUCUUUGUUUUGUUUUCUAAGUUGUCUCUUUUUUUGGCUCUCCCACAGCAUACGGAGUUCCUGAGCCAUGGAUCCGCUCCAAGCCACAGCUGUGACCGACACUAAAGCUGUGGCAAUGCUGGAUCCUUUAACCACUGUGCCAACUGGGGAUUGAACCUGCAUCCUGGCACUGCAGAGAUGCUAUCAAUUCUUUGUGCCACAGUGAGAACUCCUGCUUUCUAAAUUGUCUUUAAGCUAUUUGUUAAUUCUAUGGAACCAGACUAUUCAAACUCUCCACCAAAUCUUCAAUCCACCAACAGCAUCAGAUGGAAUUCCUGAGUCCUGCUUCAGCCAUAGAAGAAAGCUCCCUGAGACCAGGGCACUGCUCAGCAAUGCAUGGCCAGUCACAGGAAGAACCACACCUGGGUACCUUCACAUCAUGGAUUUUCCAGGGUCCACACCGUCCGGCUGACACGACGGCUCAUGACAAAUUCGGCCACUCAUAUCCCCAGGAUAAUUCCUGUUGAGGCAGAUGAGCCCCUGAGUCCCUGGAAGAGAAGGACCGAGUGGAGGAGGCACGUCCACAAAGAAGUGUGGUGAAAAGAACGCUGGCUCCACAUUAAAAAGGAUGAAACGGUGCCAUUUGCAGCAACAUGGAUGGACCUAGAAAUGAUCAAGUUUAGUGAAGUAAGCCAGACAAAGACAAAUACUAUAUGCUAUGGCUUAUAUGUGGAGUCUAAAAAAUAAUACGAGUGAACCAGUAUGCAAAACAGAAAUAGACUCACAGAUAUAAAAAACAAACUUAUGUUACCAAAGGGGAAAGGGAAGGAGGAAGAGGGAACUGGGAGCAUGGGAUUCACAGAUACAAACUACUAUACAUAAAACAGAUAAGCGACAGGAUUUACUGCACAGCUNAGCAUGGGAUUCACAGAUACAAACUACUAUACAUAAAACACAUAAGCGACAGGAUUUACUGCACAGUGCAGAGAACUAUAUUCAAUAUCUUUUAAUAACCUACAAUGGAAAAUCAUCUAAAAUACAUAUAAAUAACUGAAUCAUUUUUCCGUACACCUGAACUAAAACAAUAUUGUAAAACAACUAUAUUUCAGUUAAAGAAAAGAAAAAAAAGGAAUUCCCUCUGUGGUGCAACAGGAUCUGCGGCAUCCUGGGAGCACUGGGACGCAGAUUCGAUCCCCUGCCCAGCACAGUAGGUUAAGGAUCUGGCGUUGUGGCAGCUGCGGCUUGGGUCAUAACUGCGCCUCGGGUCUGAUUCCUGGCCUGAGAACUCCACAUGCUGUGGGGCAGUCAGACUGCCUUGGCUUCUAUCUCAGCUCCAGUUCCACCCUUACAGGAAGCAUGAUCUUGGGUCCUUAAAUUCACUAUGUUUCCUUUUCUUCCUGGAUAAAAUAAUGAUAAUAUCACUUACCUGC
rnacentral:lncRNA from 1 species